GAUGAACGCUGGCGGCGUGCCUAAUACAUGCAAGUCGAGCGAACGGACGAGAAGUUUGCUUCUCUGAUGUUAGCGGCGGACGGGUGAGUAACAUGUGGAUAACCUACCUAUAAGACUGGGAUAACUUCGGGAAACCGUAGCUAAUACCGGAUAAUAUUUUGAACCGCAUGGUUCACACGUGAAAGUCGGUCUUGCUGUCACUUAUAGAUGGAUCCGCGCUGCAUUAACUAGUUGGUAAGGUAACGGCUUACCAAGGCAACGAUGCAUAGCCGACCUGAGAGGGUGGUCGGCUACACGGUAACUGAGACUCAUUCCAGACUCCGGCAGGAGGAAGCAGUAGGGAAUCUUACGCAAGGGGCGAAUGCCUGACGGUGCAACGCCGCGUGAGUGAUGAUGGUCUUAUGAUCGGUAAACUCUGUUAUUAGGGGAGAACAUAUGUGUAAGUAACUGUGAACAUCUUGACGGUACCUAAACAGAAAGCCACGGCUAACUACGUG
rnacentral:rRNA from 1 species